rnacentral:rRNA from 1 species
UGGUGACUAUAGCAAGGAGGUCACACCUGUUCCCAUGCCGAACACAGAAGUUAAGCUCUCAGGAUGAACGCUGGCGGCGUGCCUAAUACAUGCAAGUCGAGCGAACGGACGAGAAGCUUGCUUUUCUGAUGUU